rnacentral:misc_RNA from 1 species
CACCAAUCACGCCUGGCGUGGUAUUGGGCGACGGGGCCGUCACACGCCCCGCGCCCCAAUGACCUUCCGGCGGGACGGACCGUAUCUCAGCGUUGUGCAUCACGUAUUCGCUGGCGAGGACGGGACGGCCGAGCCGUUAAACAACCCCCUUCUCA